GCUGAGAUUGAUUCUCCAGCCCCCAGAAAGGCCAGGGGUACAGAAUGUUCUUGCAGAUACCCGGAUGGAGCUUCUGCUUUCCCCAGAUAUCGGAGACUAAAUAAAAAUUUCA